UUCUUUCUUUUUUUUUUUUUUUUCUUUUUCUUAUAUAUUACUAUACUAAUGUUUUUUGGGAUACAUACCUCGGAAUGAAUUUGGAAAUUCAAUUGAUGGUCUAUUGGACGCGAGGAAGGUCUGAUGAAGGGUUGUGGGCACACGAGUGGAUAAGUUUUGCAAGUCAAAGAAGCCGAUAAACGAGAGAGAUCAGCGACGAUGGGCGAAAGAAGAGGAUCGCGAACUGAGCUACUGGACGGCGUUCCUUGGUUCAAGAGUCUUUUUCGGCUAUCCUUCAUCUGAAUCACGGAAGUACGGUUAAAGCUUGGUGUAUAAAAGGACUUCCGGUUGGUCACCAUUUUUCAUCAUCAACUGGCCCGGAUCAAUUCCGGUGGCGGUGAGCAAAAACCCUCCGUUGGCGGCAGAAAAUCUGAUCGGUACGUUUGGGUUCGGUGUGCGGCAGCGAUCGAAUUCUGGGCGUGCAAUUCUUCUAGGUGCAGGAGUCUUGAUUUUGCUGAUUACAUUCGCAGCAGUGGCAAUACUUUUGAUAAGCUUCCUUUUUAUCAUUUAUCAAUGUAUUUGGCUUGAAUAUUUUAAUUAGUUCAUUGAGUUGGAUUUUUAAGUGGUAGUUGAUUAGGAGUUUGCUUCUGCAAUAUUAAUUCAAAUUGGAAUACUGUGGCCGUAGCUUUGAUUAAGCACCUCUUAA